CAGAGUUCGUGCCCUCACGGGUAGAUCUCCCACCCUGUGUUAUUAUACCUUUGUUGCUUUGGCGGGCCGCCCUCGGCUACCGGCCCCGGCUGGUACGCGCCCGCCAGAGGACCCCAAACUCUCUAUCACUGUCGUCCGAGUACUGUAAAUAGUUA
rnacentral:misc_RNA from 1 species